GGCUGCACAGUGGCGCAGUUGGUAGCACAGCAAGAAGGUCCUGGGUUCAAAUCCUGGCUUGGGGUCU